UCAGUUGCUGGGAAAACUGGCUUUUAUCUUUCUGUGGCUCCCCUUGGCCUUGAGAUGCUUAACAUUGUUGUCCUGUCUCAUGAUUUGUGUGAAAGAACAUGGAGGAUGAGCCAGAACACACACCGAAAGAGGAAUAGAUUAACAGGAGGGCAGGAUAAGGUGCAAAACCACCCACGAGCUCUGCAAUAUCCUCAAGGAAACCCAAUAAAACAACACCAAAAGAAUGAAUUACACCACCGUUGUCAAACUCAAGGCCAGACAUUGGAACCAGAAUCUGCAAGUGCCUGGGCCACAUUAAGUGAUGCACACAAAAAUAGAUUCAGUAUUAAAAAACUUAUUAAAAACAAAAAAAAAACAACUAAUCCAUUCUCAAUCUUUAUUAACAUGAGUUCAGAAAAUUGAAGGUUCUUCAAAAGGUGAACAAGACUGGUGACGCGGUCUUCUGUCAUCUCCCUGGUAUCUUGCAUACUCGUCAGUGUCACGUUUCGAGGUGGUGGCGGACCCCAAAAAGCAGGUGGUGAAAAAGACAUGACAGCAUACCCUUCCCCUUCACUUGAUAUCACUUCUGAAUCACGCUUCGACAAAAGCUGUUAUGGGCUCAAAUUACGGGAGCCCGUAUAUGAUUAAAAAUGAACUCAAAAGGAACAAAACGACCAGAACAACGACACGACAAAAAAGAUGGGCCGUCCAAACAUUAAAGUUUUAUGUCAAGUAGGGGCCGCAAAACAUCAACCAUAUAGGUCACCGAUGGCCCCCAGGCCGCAUGUUGGAUACCUCCAGCCGAUGUGGAUUUCCACUCGUAUGUCGUUGAUAUGAAUUAAUAUAAGCCUAGCUCUAUUUAGCUAGCCACCAACCAGCAAUAGCUACCAAGGUCAUAGGCCUAUUCCGAGGAUUCUCUUUUUUGUGGGUUUAUUUAUGAUAGUCAUGCUUACUGAAAUCCAUGUUUCCUAAUGAUGAUGACGAGAUGUCAAUUUCCACCAGGAUGAGCAUGCUAAGUGACUUUUGGAGAGGUUGGAAGACCUCAUAAUGGCCAUUUCAUUCGUCUUUCUUCUCCAAGGGGGGCCUUCUCUCUAAGUAACAAGCUAUAUAGUGGAUGAAAAUUCCAUAUAUGACAAUCACACAUGAAGAAACUGUCAAGAGAUAUGAGAGUGCAGCUAGAUGAGACGUACCCAAAACUAUUCAUCAUAUAGCAUCUAUUAAGGAGUCACCACAUUAAAUAUGGUACAAGACGACAUUCAUUAUAACAGAGAGGCUCGCAUGUGUUUUGGACACAUUCAGAAAACUAAACUAUACUAGAACAAUUUUGCAUACAGUAUUAGGCUAAGCAUGAGCGUGGAGACUUCCUGGAGAGACAUGAAAGGCAGAAAUAUGCUGUGAUAAAUAUUUGGACAAUAUUAUUACUCUCUGCAGGUGACAUUCAAGGACGGUAUGUGGAGGGAUCAAAUAAAACACCUGGCGAUGAGAGACGUCGCCUGUACGUGAUGCUCAUAUCUGGAGAGCCGACAAAAAUAAAUGAUGUGGUUUAAAAAAAAAA